AAAAAAUAUAUAAUUUUUUUAUAACCCCCAAUUUCUCUUCCUCUUCCACGACAAAAAUAAACACCAAAUCCCUAACACUCUCUUCAAGCGACGGCAAAUCCCAAGUUCUCAACCCUCUCCUGCGACAACCGAUGACAACUGAUGACAACCAGCGGCAACCCACUACCUCUCUCCUUCUAUUUCAUCCUACUCGUUCAAAAUCUCAGUCUCAAACUUCUUGAAAGAGAAAGAGUUGCGAUUGCUGUGCUGGGCGAACUGCCUAAAGGGCGAAGACCUCAAUGUUCCGCCAUUUGAUUUUGAUGAAAGGUACGUAGUGGAAGGCUCCACAGGUUUCGAUCUCGAAGAAAAAGAUUUCCUUAUGGUGUUGGACACUGGAAGCGAUUUGUUUUGAUUACCGUGUGAAUGUUCUAGUUGUUUUACCCAUUUAAACACAUCAAAUGAAGGAAAUGUAUUUAAACCGAUGAUGCAAAUCUUGAAGUUGAUGUUCUCUCCAAUGAAAUCAACUGGUUGAUUCUUGUUUUGAUUAA